UCAAUUAUAAGGACUAAAUUGAAAUUUUACAUAUUGUGAUGAAUGAUUGAUUUGAUGGGCCCAGGAGGGGCUGUGUGAUAUGAUUGAGUUGUGGAUAUAUGGAUUGUGGAUAUAGAAGUGUGUUUUGAGCCCUUUUGCAGGUUGGGUAGGUCCUAGGUAUAGGGGAGACUCUGCCGGAUUUUCGGCACGACUUAGGACGUAUUGGUCUUUUUCUUUGUUUGUAUUGAGUCAAAUUUAUUAAAUGAUUGUAAUAAAAAUUGUCAGGUGAGCCGGGACAGCCUUCUUCCUCUGCCCAGCCGCCUCAGUGACCACCGUCAAGUCUGCCACAGGAGGAGUUAUUUUACAGAGCGACCUGUUUUCUUUCUCGCAGGUUUAACGUCGAUUAUUUAAUUGUAUUAUUAUUCUCUAAAUUUGUAAUUUAGGACUCCGCAUGUGCUAGUAGUAGCAUUAAGUCUGUCAGGGACUGUAUGAAUUCAAGUUUGCGUAUUAAUAAAUGAAAAGAAAAAAAUUUUAUGA